rnacentral:rRNA from 1 species
AUUGAACGCUGGCGGCAGGCCUAACACAUGCAAGUCGAACGGUAGCACAGAGAGCUUGCUCUUGGGUGACGAGUGGCGGACGGGUGAGUAAUGUCUGGGAAACUGCCCGAUGGAGGGGGAUAACUACUGGAAACGGUAGCUAAUACCGCAUAACGUCUUCGGACCAAAGUGGGGGACCUUCGGGCCUCACACCAUCGGAUGUGCCCAGAUGGGAUUAGCUAGUAGGUGGGGUAAUGGCUAACCUAGGCGACGAUCCCUAGCUGGUCUGAGAGGAUGACCAGCCACACUGGAACUGAGACACGGUCCAGACUCCUACGGGAGGCAGCAGUGGGGAAUAUUGCACAAUGGGCGCAAGCCUGAUGCAGCCAUGCCGCGUGUAUGAAGAAGGCCUUCGGGUUGUAAAGUACUUUCAGCGGGGAGGAAGGCGAUGGAGUUAAUAGCUUCAUCGAUUGACGUUACCCGCAGAAGAAGCACCGGCUAACUCCGUGCCAGCCGCCGCGGUAA